GGCGGGCGUAGCCAAGAGGUUAAGGCAAUGGGUUGUGGCUCCAUCAUACGCGGGUUCGAUUCCCGUCGUUCGCCU
rnacentral:tRNA from 1 species